UACGGAGGGUGCAAACGUUGCUCGGAAUCAUUGGGCGUAAAGCGCACGUAGGCGGUUGCUUAAGUUCGGUGUGAAAGCUCCCGGCUCAACUGGGAGAGGGCACUGGAGACUGGGCGACUGGAGGUGGGUAGAGGCUGGUGGAAUUCCCGGAGUAGUGGUGAAAUGCGUAGAUAUCGGGAGGAACACCCAUGGCGAAGGCAGCCAGCUGGGCCUGACCUGACGCUGAGGCGCGAAAGCGUGGGGAGCGAACCGG
rnacentral:rRNA from 1 species